AGGACGAACGCUGGCGGCGUGCUUAACACAUGCAAGUCACGGGGGCCCGCAAGGGCAACCGGCGAACGGGUGCGUAACACGUGACCAACCUGCCCUUGUGUGGGGGAUAGCCGGGCUAACGCCCGGGUAAUACCGCAUACGGUCCCUUGGGGGAGUCCCUGGGGGAAGAAAGCUCUGGCGCACGAGGAGGGGGUCGCGGCCUAUCAGCUAGUUGGCGAGGUAAUGGCUCACCAAGGCGACGACGGGUAGCUGGUAUGAGAGGAUGGCCAGCCACAUUGGGACUGAGAGACGGCCCAGACUCCUACGGGAGGCAGCAGUGGGGAAUCUUGCGCAAUGGCCGAAAGGCUGACGCAGCGACGCCGCGUGUGGGAGGACGCCUUUCGGGGUGUAAACCACUGUUGCCCGGGACGAACACCCACUUUCGAGUGGGCUGACGGUACCGGGUGAGGAGCACCGGCUAACUCCGUACCAGCAGCCGC
rnacentral:rRNA from 1 species